ensembl:snoRNA
GUAUGAAUGAGGAGUUGAAGGUUAAUUAGCAGUAUAACUAUGAGUAGUAAUGCUGUCAGUCUCCUUCAGAUACAC